UCUCCUGUAGAUGUUAGUGGUUUGAUCUGGAAACAGAAAUCACAAAUUGAAAACAUGUUUCAGCAAAAAUGAGACACAAGUUUCCUAAUUUUUAUUAUUUUUUUACAGGACUAGGUGCAAACCUCCAUUAGUAGAAAACCAAGAGUUUCAAUGAAAACCAAACCCAAGACUGGUACGAAGUUAACUACACAGCUCUGUCAAUACUGGUCGUAACUUGAAAUGACCCUCCUCGUUCCAGAUAGGUCUUUUCCUUUCCCACCUGCUUCCAUUCACAGCUAGAUGAAGGUUUCCCUAUAUUUGUUAUAGUAAAGGUUACCAUUCAUCAGGGUUAGAAACUACAUCCGCACGUAAGAUAAAGUAUUCAGCGCUAGCCCAGUUUACCAUCACUAACACCUGCCCCUCAGCCCCAGAAGGGAUUUGUUUUCAAACAUUACUCCACUGCCACAACUCCGCCAAUUCCAGACUUACUAGGGUGACCAGAUGUCCCGAUUUUAUAGGGACCGUCCCGAUUUUAGGGUCUUUUUCUUAUAUAGGCUCCUAUUACUGCCCACCCCCUGUCCCGAUUUUUCACACUUGCUGUCUGGUCACCCUAAGACUUACUGAUAGGAAAGGGCAAACCUCAAAUUAGGUGGAAGGUCCAGUCUGUAGGCUGAGUGAGAUUCUAUGGAGCUAACACGAGGAAGCAUGAGUAAACAAUGUUCAUGAGGAAUUUGGAGACCAAAUAAGAUUUUAAAUUGUUGUAUAACAUGAAUGUGUGACUUUAAAAGUUGUUUAUUAAAUCCUGCUCUCAUUAUUCUACAGGCAGUCUCUGACUACAUCUGGUGUUGUCUGGGAACAAGUAUUCUGUGUACCCUGCUAAUACACAGUGGCGUACUGGUAAAAAAAGAAUGGUCAUCACAAAAACCACCACUACAGUCAUCACUAGAGUUGGCAGGUUCAGCAGAGAGGGUGCCUAGUCCUAGCCUGGAGGAUCAGCUACCCACUCCACCACAGAGAUGAUCUCUCCAGAUAUAUUAAAACUUCAGGAUGGAGAAAGAAAGGUGUUAUUUUAUAACCAAGGACAGACCUGAAUGGACAGCAACUAUCAGUAAAAGUUGUAAACACUUUGAGGAAGACAGAUGCAAAAAACUGAUAGAAAUAAAGGCCAACCGUCAUGCCAAGUCUUCAGCGAGAGCCUGCACAUUCCUCUGACAUCUGUUUGGAAUCUUGUGCCUCUUGGAUCAGGCUAGGCAGCCACAUGAAAACACACGUGGUGCUGUGACAUCAUUGUUGGUUACAACAGACAGCCACACAAUUUUAUGGACGUCUGUUGAAAAAUGCCAGUGUCACGCAUGGAUGUUAAUGGAGGAGCAAUGGUCAGCGUAGACCAAUGAACAGUUUGGCACUGCCUAUCAAGAUCCAAUAAGAAUAUUGACUAAUAAAACUAUUGAUGGGUCGUUUCUAAGCUAACUUCAAUAGAUAAUAAACUUACACUGGGAAAAUACUUUAAAAUACUUCCCAGUGAAGAAAUAUGAUAUUGUCUCUGCUUCCUGACAGGUGCCAAAAAUGAAUCUAGAUAUAGUUCUAGCAUCUCUCACCCUACAGUUGUUUCCAAUCAUUGCUAAUAAUACUUAUGGAACUUUCUAAGUGCAUAUCUAACUUUAGCAGCACAUGGAAAAACAUGGUCUCUACCCAAAGGA